CUCAGGAAAAUGUGGUUGGUCCCCCACACCACUUCAGAACCACGGUCAGUUAGGUGAGGCUGUCCCAGGACCUCUGUGUCCCUGAUAUCCCAUUCACCAAUUUUUAUUCCAUGGCUCCCACUGCAUGAGGACAUGAGAAACUCCAGCGAGGUACCAGAGUUCUGGAGAGAAAGAGAGAACAGAGCUCCUCUGCUCCCAGAUCACCAAACUUACUACGUCUCUCUCCGAGCUGCCCAAAGGGGACCCACGAGCCACAUAUAGGUUGAAAGACUUACUGACAUUUAAUUUAGAGGGCGGAGUGUAGACACUCCUGAACUACUGCUGCUUCCUCGUUUCCGAUGGCCUCUGCUCAGCAGCCACCAAGUUCAGGCAAUUCCUCCUGCAUUGCUUCUCUCUGUUGACGUCUCUCCAUUCCCCUCUCCCCAUUCAGGCAUCUAACCCUCUACACACAGCAAUGUGUUCUUGCCAUCACCAGCGUCCAGAGCCACCAGCAAAUGAGGCUGUCUGAUUUGCUGGGUAAAUAAUAGAUACCAAGGAUAACAGCUAUUCUGCUCUACUGAGCACAAAAGAAAACCGUCAGUUUAAGAAUAUUUGAACUGCUAUUAAGUAAUAAUAAAUUCCUCCUUCUCUGCUUGCUGGAAAUCGCACACAUGCUUCAAGAUCCAAGUCACGUGUCACUGUUUCGGUAAUGCUGUCCCUCAGCUUAUCGGUGGGAAUGAAUCCCUUCUUUCCUCCGUACCCUUCUUGUGUUUAUCCCUCGGCUGUAGAGCAGAUCACAGUUUGCCUGGGUUAGAGCCAAGUUUCCCAUUGGAUUGCGAAUUCCUGCUGAGAAGUUUUGUAUCCAGAGCAGAAUCCUUUUGACCACUGAGUGGUCCUCUCGACUGGAAAUUUCCUCCUCUGUGACAGGCGAUUGUCCUACUCCCCUCACGUUCUGACACUCUCUGAGUUGGACACGAACAGCUUUCACCUCACCUGCCUGCCUCUGACCAGCCCAGGACUGAAGAGGAUGUCCACUGACCGGCACCAGGGACUGUCGCCUGUGAAGCACGCUCCUCUGGGAGCCCUUGUUUGGAAAUUCUCACCCACCUGUUCCCCAUUCCUUCUAGGUCCUCACAGGGCACACAUGUUCAAACAGUCUGGGUUUGAACGUGGGUUUAACUUGGGGACUUCACUGAACUGCCGUCCCUCAAGAAGAGCCAAGCACCUGCAGGAGGCAUCAGGGUCUUCCAAGCACCCCCUCCUCCCGGCCCACCCAGGUGGCAGGGUUCGGACCCUCCCCGCUGGCUCCCC
rnacentral:lncRNA from 1 species